rnacentral:lncRNA from 1 species
AAAAACUGGUAGGGUUAGAUGUAGGACACGUGUCCAGAUCUAACGGUCGGGGUAGUGACCUUUGGGCUUCCUGCUCCUGUUGCCUAUAAAUACCCUCCCCUCAUUUCAUUUUUCACUUUUUACUCUCAGUAAACUUCUCUCGCUAAUCGUCGGGAUCGGACUUUGAGUUUUUAGACGUCGACUUUAAGGUAAGACCUCGAGUUUUUAAGUUAUUCUUUAGGUAUUUUUUACCUAGGUCAGGAUGUCUAGUAGUAGCAGUAGCGACACUUCGUCCUCAUCAUCCUCGAGGAGUACUCCCGAGGACAUAGGAUGCUCAAUCAUACCUAUGGCUGUCCCAAUUAAUGCCCAGCCUCGGGCAAAAAGUAUCCCGACCCCUUUUAGGUAUCCCGAGGUCCCCUGUUGCUCCUGUUGCCUAUAAAUACCCUCCCCUCAUUUCAUUUUUCACUUUUUACUCUCAGUAAACUUCUCUCGCUAAUCGUCGGGAUCGGACUUUGAGUUUUUAGGCGUCGACUUUAAGGUAAGACCUCGAGUUUUUAAGUUAUUCUUUAGGUAUUUUUUACCUAGGUCACGAUAUUUAGUAGUAGUAGUAGCGACACUUCGUCCUCAUCAUCCUCGAGGAGUACUCCCGAGGACAUAGGAUGCUCAAUCAUACCUAUGGCUGUCCCAAUUAAUGCCCAACCUCGGG